rnacentral:rRNA from 1 species
GAUGAACGCUGACAGAAUGCUUAACACAUCAGCAAUGGAUUGGUGGCGGACGGGGGAGUAACGCGUAAAGAACUUGCCGCACAGCUAGGGACAACAUUUGGAAACGAAUGCUAAUACAUAAUACUGUGAGAGAGCUUUGCGUCCCAUUAGCUAGUUGGAGAGGUAACGGCUCACCAAGGCGAUGAUGGGUAGCCGGCCUGAGAGGGUGAUCGGCCACACGCGGUCUGAGACCCGGCCCUUACUCCUACGUGAGGCAGCAGUGUGGACUAUUGGACAAUGGACCACAGUCUGCUCCAGCAAUUCUGUGUGCACGAUGAAGUUUUCGGACUGUAAAGUGCUUUCAGUUGGGAAGCGGUACCAACAGAAGAAGUGACGGCUAACUACGUGCCAGCCGCCGCGGUAAUAC